GCCUGGGCUAGUUUCGUCUGAACAAACAAAUCACAUGGCCUCGUUCCUGCUUUGAGAUUGGCUGAAAAACGCAUUGCUGAUGUCAUUUUCUACUGAUGAGUACCUCUGGAUUUUGCCCAUGAGUCAUUAUACAUACAAUGUCUGCUAAUUCUCCUGUGCACUGAAGAUUUUUGGAAAUUCAAAAUUUAGGAUAUAAAAUACAGGAACACCCAGCAAGCCCCAUACACUUCCACGACAGCAUUUGUC
rnacentral:lncRNA from 1 species